GCUUACGGCCAUACCAGCCUGAAUACGCCCGAUCUCGUCCGAUCUCGGAAGCUAAGCAGGGUCGGGCCUGGUUAGUACUUGGAUGGGUGACCGCCUGGGAAUACCAGGUGCUGUAAGCA
rnacentral:rRNA from 1 species